GAGAACAAGAGCUUGAACGUAUGAUUUUACCUUUGCUUGGAAACUAUUUGCACAUCAAUGCAUUAUUAACACUCUGGUUUAUAAAUAAACAGAUACUCCAAUCUAGACUUGUGUUGGCAUCACCUGAGACUGCCACUGAUGGUGAUUAUGCUGCAAUUUUGGGUGUCGCUGGACAUGAGAGUAACUUGCCGUGAUUGGUUCCAGCUAACCCUGAGAGAAGGGAUAACUGUCUUCAGGGAUCAGGAGUGCUCGUCAGAUCUCGGCUAUCGUACAGUAAAACGCAUCGCUGAUGUCUCCAAACUCAGAAUCUAUCAAUUUCCUCAGGAUGCUGGUCCUAUGGCACAUCCUAUUCGUCCCCAUUCCUAUAUCAAGGUACUAAUGCUCGAAUUGUUCAAUCAUUUGAAUUCAGUUACUCUGUUGCUUGCAACCAGCUUAAAGAUAUGGUGUAUAACUUAUUUAAUUUGACUGGCAAAUGGACAACUUCUAUACUGCUGAGUUUCUGUCUAUAAAGUUUGCGGCAUACAGUGAGAUGUACAAAGCCAUCAACUUAUUAUAAUCCAUUCCCUCUUGCACUGGAACAUCAUCGUUGAAUCUUCCCUGGUGACUUUGAUUAUGAACAACUUGGCAGUCACGGUUUCCAAAGGCAUGAUGGACAAGCUGUCACUUGUGAAUACUUCUAUGCAGCGAUGUGUGAUGCAAAUAAUGCACAACUACCAAAUUUUUACAAUGGUAGUAGACAGCUAUCUUUCAACCAUGUUACUUGUUGAAAGUACUAUCUAACUGCGAAAGAACCAUCCAAUAGAUACUCUCAAGCAGGUACGCCUACAGUCAGGGUGGCAUCUUCAUAUGAGCCAGACAGCGGAUGCUUGGACAUGGAGCCGGUUGCACGUGAUCGUGUGGAGGCACUUGUGAUUCUUCUAGGCUUUAGACUACUUUGUAAUUGACGCAUAAAAACUCCUGCCAUGGCAGUGACAUGCCAGACUCCAUCACGAAGGCUAAGGCUCUUUGAUCUGAACGUUCCUAUAGAAGAAGAUGACAAUGGCAAUCUUGCCUUCAAUCUCAACGAGCCAAUAUUGGAGGAUCACAACGACAAUGGAUUGGAUUUGAACUUGCCACUAGACGAAUAUGGUGCAGUUGAUUUCGAUUUUGUACAAAACCUCGCUGAACAUGUUGUUGUUGCUCCCGUUGAAGUAAACCAUCGAAGGAAAGAUAUGACAGAAGAAGUCAAAAGAUAAGUGUAUCAAGCAUUGUUGGCUAGAAGUAAGAAUGGGAAACUAGGCAAGAAAGAUACAAGAUUUGUUGCUGAUCAAUUUGGAGUACACAUUUGGUCAGUUCAGCGCUUAUGGAAGCGAGAGUGUUUUGAAGGAAGCCAUGAAGGUUAAAGAAUGCAACAAGAUCAAGAUUCCUCACAUGCAAAAAGAAAAAUUAGAGAAAGAAGAUCGGCUGCCAUUGCAAAUCUUCUGUGAAGCGUCCUUGCUACCUGAAGCAAUUGCUAGUCUUCCUGCAUCAAACAAUUUGAAGAUGCAAGUUAGUUAGGAGCAAAUUAGAAGAAGCAAUUUAGGAGAUGCAUGCAUCUUAGGUUGAAUGAAUGAGACAUGUAACCUUACUGAUCUUUCUUUGCAUCUUUCAUGGCACCAUCCACCAUCGCUAUCUCCAUGGAGGCAUCCUGCUUCAUCUUCAAUUGCUCGUCCAACUUCUUCAUAAUGUGCUCAUGCACAAGUAUGGUGUCACCAUCCAUUUGAAGCUUCUCCACAUCAGGA